AUCUACAAGGAAGCUGUGAUUUUCCAUUUACAGAUGAGGAAACUGAGGCUUAGAAAUACUCUUCCAAGGUCACCCGGUUUGAAUGUGUCAGAGCUGGUGUUUGUGCCCUAAAGAUCACCUACAUGCCUUGGAGGAUAAGAGAACCCUGAACUGGGACCAUGAGAAGGCAUCAAAUUAGAGAAAGAGUGGAUUUAAAAACUCAGCCAGAGAGGCCCAAGGUGAUGCUGCUGCUGCUGUUGCUGCUCUAGGUACCACACUUUGAGAAAGCCUGGUCGAGGUAACUUGUAGGACCCUGCCUUGGGUCUGGAGUGGGUCUCAAGAUCCCACAUUUCUAAUAGAUUCCCAGGUGAUGUGAUGCUGCCGAUCCACAGACAUUACCUGGAGGAAGGUUCUAUCCAACAGUUAAAGUGCACCAGAGCUACACCUGCCAAGAUAAAGAAAUCUCAGAAAUAUAUCUUUGAGGUAAAGAAGCAUGUUGUAGAAGGAUGUGUAGGAUAUAAUACAAGUUAAAUAAAAUGGAAACAAUGCAAAACACUGUUGCAUAUUUUUUAUUGAGGCAUGACAUGUAUAUAGUGAAAGUGUAAAAACAAGAGUAAGAUUGAUAAACAUUAAAUUCAUAAUAGUGGCUACCUUUGGGGGAAUUGGAGAGGAAAGAGAUUGAGAUUAUACAUGGGGCUUUGAUAUGAUCUGCAGUGUUCGUUUCUUAAGCUUGGUGGUGUGUACAAAGGUGUAACAUUAUUUUCUUUAUUUUUGUAUGUCAGUAUUAGUAGGACUAUGGGGUGUGUGUGUGUGUGUGUGUGUGUGUGUGUGUGAAUUCAGUUGUCCAAUAGAGAUUCUGCAUAAAACUUUGAGCUUUUUUCCUUGUGAUCUUUUGUUUUGAAGAUAAAAUUAAAGAAUAAUCUCAACUGAUUUUAUUCCUUGGAGGCAUGGAAGAUGGGUAAAAGACAACAGUACUAUACUGAGAAAAAGGGAAAAAAAUUAUUUAAGAAGAGAUACAAUAUUUUCUUGAGUAUCUUCAACAGAGG